CUACCCUUGACAUGCCACUAACGAAGCAGAGAUGCAUUAGGUGCUCGAAAGAGAAAGUGGACACAGGUGCUGCGUGGCUGUCGUCAGCUCGUGUCGUGAGAUGUUGGGUUAAGUCCCGCAACGAGCGCAACCCUUGUCUCUAGUUGCUACGAAAGGGCACUCUAGAGAGACUGCCGGUGACAAACCGGAGGAAGGUGGGGAUGACGUCAAGUCCCCAUGGCCCUUAUGGGUAGGGCUUCACACGUCAUACAAUGGUGCAUACAGAGGGUUGCCAAGCCGCGAGGUGGAGCCAAUCCCAGAAAAUGCAUCGUAGUCCGGAUCGUAGUCUGCAACUCGACUACGUGAAGCUGGAAUCGCUAGUAAUCGCGGAUCA
rnacentral:rRNA from 1 species